GGGGCGGUAGCUCAGUCGGUUAGAGCAGCGGACUCAUAAUCCGUCGGUCGU
rnacentral:tRNA from 1 species